rnacentral:rRNA from 1 species
UACGGAGGGGGCUAGCGUUGUUCGGAAUUACUGGGCGUAAAGCGUGCGCAGGCGGUUGUGCAAGACAGAUGUGAAGUCCCCGGGCUCAACCUGGGAACUGCAUUUGUGACUGCAUAGCUAGAGUGCGGCAGAGGGGGAUGGAAUUCCGCGUGUAGCAGUGAAAUGCGUAGAUAUGCGGAGGAACACCGAUGGCGAAGGCAAUCCCCUGGGCCUGCACUGACGCUCAUGCACGAAAGCGUGGGGGAGCAAACAGG